rnacentral:rRNA from 1 species
GAUGAACGCUGGCGGCGUGCCUAAUACAUGCAAGUCGAGCGAACGGACGAGAAGCUUGCUUUUCUGAUGUUAGCGGCGGACGGGUGAGUAACACGUGGAUAACCUACCUAUAAGACUGGGAUAACUUCGGGAAACCGGAGCUAAUACCGGAUAAUAUUUUGAACCGCAUGGUUCAAAAGUGAAAGACGGUCUUGCUGUCACUUAUAGAUGGAUCCGCGCUGCAUUAGCUAGUUGGUAGGGUAACGGCUUACGAAGGCAACGAUGCAUAGCCGACCUGAGAGGGUGAUCGCCCACCCGGGAGCUGAGCCGGCGACAAGACUCCUACGAGAGGCCGCAGACGGGAAUCUUCCGCAAUGGGCGAAAGCCUGACGGAACAACGCCGCGUGAGUGAUGACGGUCUUCGGAUCGUAAAGCCGUGUUAUUAGGGAUAAACAGAUGUGUAAGUAACUGUGCACAUAUUGACGGUACCUAAUCAGAAAGCCCCGGCUAACUACGUG